rnacentral:misc_RNA from 1 species
AUCAUUUAGAGGAAGGAGAAGUCGUAACAAGGUUUCCGUAGGUGAACCUGCGGAAGGAUCAUUGUCGAAACCUCCAAAUGACCCGCGAACCAGUUAUCCACAAGUCGGGGGUGUCGGGCUGAACCCCGUAACCCCCGUGCGCCGGUGGCGGUCAGGCGUGCCAAGCUCUUGGCACGGUUGGCCCGUCACCUGCCCAACAAACCAACCCCGGCGCGGCACGCGCCAAGGAACUUUGCAUCAUGAGAAGGACAAUGCCCCCGUCCGUGCCGGAAAUCGGAUAACGCGGCCGGUGGCUUUCCUUCGGUUCAUAACUAAAACGACUCUCGGCAACGGAUAUCUAGGCUCUUGCAUCGAUGAAGAACGUAGCGAAAUGCGAUACUUGGUGUGAAUUGCAGAAUCCCGUGAACCAUCGAGUCUUUGAACGCAAGUUGCGCCCGAAGCCUUCUGGCCGAGGGCACGUCUGCCUGGGUGUCACACAUCGUCGCCCCCAAAACCAAUGCCUCUUUCGAGUUCAUUGGGUACAGGAUGGGCGGAUAAUGGUCUCCCGUGCGCACCCGUUCGCGGUUGGCCCAAAACUUUGUUCCUUGCGAUCGCAAGCCAUGACCAGCGGUGGUUGUAAGACCCUCGGUCAUAGUCGUGAGCUUGCACGUCGGGACUCAUCGACCCUGAACGUGAUUGAGAAACCUCGAACACUCACAAAGUGACCCCAGGUCAGGCGGGACUACCCGCUGAAUUUAAGCAUAUCAAUAA